GCGAUGCAGAGUAAGCCGGGCGAGGAAACAUCUCACCCAUGCAUAAGGCAGCAGCUGCAGAUCCAGAUCCAGGGGUGCAGCAAGAACAGGGCACUGCAGUCACAGAAAGUCUGGAGCAUAAGUCAACCAAGUAGUGGGUCAGCUAGUCAGUAGCAGCCGCCACUUCAAGGAGACCAGUGCAGAAGCCGUUCAGAAGGGGCGCAUCACAGUCAGCCAUACAUGGUGCAGAUGCACCCAGGCGCACAUUGUACAAUGGAGAGUCGCAGCUCACAGGUCGUCUCCGAAGGAC
rnacentral:sRNA from 1 species